GUAAGGAUCUUUCGUUUAUUUUAGUCGCUCUAUCUCCGCUAGUUUGCAGACUAAGAAAAACCGAGUUUAAAGUUGACGAACUUCUAUACGAUCGUGCGAAGUUAAGAUUUGAAAGAACCACAUAUUCGUUGCUCUCCAGAUGGAGUUAGAACAAUUAUUAAAUAGGCGAAAAUUAACAGUUAAAAUUACGGACGAAUCGAGUCGCUAUGGUUUUCAUUCCUUGUUCGUCAGGAGCCUCGCUAAGGAAGCACGUCUUCGUCGGUGAAGCUUAUAGCAUGGUCGCGAAGAAGCUUAUUUUUCAAUUGGAAUCAUAAAUUAUUAAGCAAUAACAUAGAAAUUUGCUUCAUCCCGCGCUCAAUCGCCAGGGUCGUGUCGUAAACUCGGUAUCUCCGCAGGGUAAUUUGGAAUUAUAUUACAGCGGUACAAGUUGCCGAACUUCCUCACCCGCAGAGAUAUCGUGAU